UUAACUCAAAUUUGUAUGGAAUGGGAUCGUUUGCGUACGUUUGCCGCUAGGGGCGCUGUUCCUACUGCAUACAAAAUUGGGUUA
rnacentral:pre_miRNA from 1 species